rnacentral:rRNA from 1 species
GUGAUCAAGCGACGCCGCGUGCGGGACGAAGGCCUUCGGGUUGUAAACUCCUGUCGAGGGGGAACAAGGGGCGGUGCAGAGCCGUCCUUGAGUGAUCCCUGGAGGAAGCACGGGCUAAGUUCGUGCCAGCAGCCGCGGUAAGACGAACCGUGCGAACGUUAUUCGGAAUCACUGGGCUUAAAGCGCGUGUAGGCGGGCCGGCACGUCGAUGCUGAAAUCCCCCGGCUCAACCGGGGAACUGGCGUCGAUACGACCGGCCUGGAGGGGGGUAGGGGGAGCCGGAACUUCCGGUGGAGCGGUGAAAUGCGUUGAGAUCGGAAGGAACGCCCGUGGCGAAAGCGGGCUCCUGGACCCCACCUGACGCUGAGACGCGAAAGCCAGGGGAGCGAACGGGAUUAGAUACCCCGGUAGUCCUGGCCGUAAACGAU